rnacentral:lncRNA from 1 species
GAUUGCUCCACUGCACUCCAGUCUGGAUGACAGAGAGAGACUCCAUGUCAAAAUAAAUAAAUAAAUAAAUAAAUAAAUAAAUAAAUAAAUAAAUAAAAUAGUAGCUCUGGUUGAGGGCAGUGGCUAAUGCCUGUAAUCCCAGCACUUUGAGAGGCCAAGACAGGAGCAUCGCUUGAGCCCAGGAGUUCAAGACCAGUUUGGGCAACAUAGGGAGACCCCAUCUCUACAAAAAUAAAAAAAUUAGCCAAGUGUAGUGGCACAUGUCCAUGGUCCCAACUCCUUGGGAGGUGGGAGGAUCACUUGGGCCUGGGAGGUCGAGGCUGUGGUGUGUCAUGAUUGCAUCACUGUAUUCCAGCCUGGGCAACAGAGUGAGACCCUGUCUCAAAAAAUAAAAUAAAAUAGUAACUCCCAGUGUCAUGUUUUUCUAUUUUAUUCUUCUUCCUAACACUUAUUAAUAACUGCAUUAGACAGAAAACAAACAGGUAAACAAAUGAGCUACAUGAUGACAAAGUGAUCAAAGUUAUGAAGAAAAUAAAGCAAGGCUUAAAGGAGGGGGCUACUUUGGAUGGGAGGUCAAAAAGGGCCUCUUUGAGAAGGUGACUUCUAAGAUGAAUUUUAGGUGAUGAAAAUGGCACCAAUCAUGCAAUGAUUUUAGGGAAUUCCAAGCAGCCAGAACAGCUUUGCAGAGUCCCAAAGUGGGACGGAAAUUCACUUAUUAGAGGAACAGAAAGAAGGUUUGAUUUGCUAGAAUCCAGUGAGCAAGGGGGUCCUGGAGCACGAGUCAGAUCAUUUGAACAUUAUGGUCCAUUGAAAAGAGUGUAUAUUUUAGUGUAAGUGCAUAUUGGAACUGUGUAGGUGACAUGGUUUAUGGUUUUUUUUUUUUUUUUUUUUUGAGAUGGAGUUUCCCUCUUGUUGCCCAGGCUGGAGUGCAAUGGCUUGAUCUCGGCUCACCGCAACCUCUGCCUCCUGGGUUCAAGUGAUUCUCCUGCCUCUGCCUUCCAAGUAGCUGGGAUUAUGGGCAUGCAUCACCACUCCCAGCUAAUUUUGUAUUUUUAGUAGAGGUGGGGUUUCUUCAUGUUGGUCAGGCUGGUUGCGAACUCCUGGCCUUAGGUGAUCCGCCUGCCUCAGCCUCCCAAAGUGCUGGGAUUACAGGCAUGAGCCACGGCGCCCGGCCCUACCUUAGGUAAUCCGCCCGCCUCAGUCUCCCAAAAUGCUGGGAUUACAAGUGUGAGCCACCGCACCCAGCCACUGAUCUAUGUUUUAAAGAAUUCACUCUUGGCUGCAGUAUGGAUUGAAAUGGGGGAGGGAGAAAGAAUGGAAAUAGGCCAUUCAGAAGGCUGGUGCAGUUGUCCAGGUGAUUGAUGGCAGUGCUUGGACCAAGAUGGUGACAGCAAGAUAGAAGAAAUGGGUGAAUUCAGGAUACAUUAUGGAGGCAGUUUGUCAGAACUGGCCGAUAGGGAUAAGAGGAAUGAGAGAAAGAAAAAUCAAGAAUGACUUCUGGCUGGGUGCGGUGGCUCACGCAUGUAAUCCCAG